AUAGGGGAGCCGUAGGGAAACCGAGUCUUAACUGGGCGAAUGAGUUGCAGGGUAUAGACCCGAAACCCGGUGAUCUAUCCAUGGGCAGGUUGAAGGUUGGGUAACACUAACUGGAGGACCGAACCGACUAAUGUUGAAAAAUUAGCGGAUGACUUGUGGAUGGGGGUGAAAGGCCAAUCAAACCGGGAGAUAGCUGGUUCUCCCCGAAAGCUAUUUAGGUAGCGCCUCGUGAACUCAUCUUCGGGGGUAGAGCACUGUUUCGACUAGGGGGUCAUCCCGACUUACCAACUCGAUGCAAACUGCGAAUACCGAAGAAUGUUAUCACGGGAGACACACGGCGGGUGCUAACGUCCGUCGUGAAGAGGGAAACAACCCAGACCGCCAGCUAAGGUCCCAAAGUCAUGGUUAAGUGGGAAACGAAGUGGGAAGGCUCAGACAGCCAGGAUGUUGGCUUAGAAGCAGCCAUCAUUUAAAGAAAGCGUAAUAGCUCACUGGUCGAGUCGGCCCGCGCGGAAGAUGUAACGGGGCUAAACCAUGCACCGAAGCUGCGGCAGCGAACGUAUCACUUAAAUUUGUUUGAGUGAAUAACGAUUGACGGAACGAAGUGACGUCAAUGCGUUAAUGAAAGUCGAGGCGAAAGCACGACAAAGCGAAUUUAAGGAUACGUUCGUUGGGUAGGGGAGCGUUCUGUAAGCCUGCGAAGGUGUACUGUGAGGUAUGCUGGAGGUAUCAGAAGUGCGAAUGCU
rnacentral:rRNA from 1 species